GAUGGCGACCGGCGCACGGGUGCGUAACGCGUAUCAAACCUGCCUCAUACUCGGGGAUAGCCUUGCGAAAGUAAGAUUAAUACCCGAUGUUGUUAUGUUACCGCAUGGUGAUAUAACCAAAGAUUUAUCGGUAUGAGAUGGUGAUGCGUCCGAUUAGGUAGUAGGCGGGGUAACGGCCCACCUAGCCUUCGAUCGGUAGGGGUUCUGAGAGGAAGGUCCCCCACACUGGAACUGAGACACGGUCCAG
rnacentral:rRNA from 1 species